UACGAAGGGGGCUAGCGUUGCUCGGAAUCACUGGGCGUAAAGCGCACGUAGGCGGCUUUCUAAGUCAGGGGUGAAAUCCCGGAGCUCAACUCCGGAACUGCCUUUGAUACUGGAGAGCUUGAGUUCGGGAGAGGUGAGUGGAACUGCGAGUGUAGAGGUGAAAUUCGUAGAUAUUCGCAAGAACACCAGUGGCGAAGGCGGCUCACUGGUCCGGUACUGACGCUGAGGUGCGAAAGCGUGGGGAGCAAACAGG
rnacentral:rRNA from 1 species